UUUGAUCCUGGCUCAGGAUGAACGCUGGCGGCGUGCUUAACACAUGCAAGUCGAACGGGGAUGCCAUUUUUGAAGCGAUUAGCUUGCUGAGAGUGGAAAUGUUGGCAUCUUAGUGGCGGACGGGUGAGUAACGCGUGGGGAACCUGCCCUGUACAGGGGGAUAACACUUAGAAAUAGGUGCUAAUACCGCAUAAGCGCACAGUAUCGCAUGAUACAGUGUGAAAAACUCCGGUGGUACAGGAUGGACCCGCGUCUGAUUAGCUGGUUGGCGGGGUAACGGCCCACCAAGGCGACGAUCAGUAGCCGGCCUGAGAGGGUGAACGGCCACAUUGGGACUGAGACACGGCCCAAACUCCUACGGGAGGCAGCAGUGGGGAAUAUUGGACAAUGGGGGGAACCCUGAUCCAGCGACGCCGCGUGAGUGAAGAAGUAUUUCGGUAUGUAAAGCUCUAUCAGCAGGGAAGAAAAUGACGGUACCUGACUAAGAAGCCCCGGCUAACUACGUG
rnacentral:rRNA from 1 species